CGUCCAAGCUUGCUUGGAUGGCUGAGUGGCAGACGGGUGAGUAACACGUGGGAACUUACCCUUUAGACUGGGACAACCACUGGAAACGGUGGCUAAUACCGGAUACGCCCUGAGGGGGAAAGCAGAAAUGCGCUAAGGGAGAGGCCCGCGGCAGAUUAGGUAGUUGGUGGGGUAAAGGCCUACCAAGCCUGUGAUCUGUAGCUGGUUUGAGAGGAUGAUCAGCCACACUGGGACUGAGACACGGCCCAGACUCCUACGGGAGGCAGCAGUGGGGAAUAUUGGACAAUGGGGGAAACCCUGAUCCAGCAAUGCCGCGUGAAUGAAGAAGGCCUUAGGGUUGUAAAGUUCUUUUGUCCGUGACGAUAAUGACGGUAGCGGACGAAU
rnacentral:rRNA from 1 species